rnacentral:miRNA from 2 species
CAGAUAUUGCACGGUUGAUCUCUU